rnacentral:rRNA from 1 species
AUUGAACGCUGGCGGCAUGCUUUACACAUGCAAGUCGAACGGUAACAGGCCUUCGGGUGCUGACGAGUGGCGAACGGGUGAGUAAUGCAUCGGAACGUGCCCAAUCGUGGGGGAUAACGUAGCGAAAGUUACGCUAAUACCGCAUAAGCCCUGAGGGGGAAAGCAGGGGAUCGCAAGACCUUGCGCGAAUGGAACGGCCGAUGUCAGAUUAGCUAGUUGGUGGGGUAAAGGCCUACCAAGGCGACGAUCUGUAGCGGGUCUGAGAGGAUGAUCCGCCACACUGGGACUGAGACACGGCCCAGACUCCUACGGGAGGCAGCAGUGGGGAAUUUUGGACAAUGGGCGCAAGCCUGAUCCAGCCAUGCCGCGUGCGGGACGAAGGCCUUC